UACGUAGGGGGCAAGCGUUGUUCGGAAUUACUGGGCGUAAAGGGCUGGUAGGCGGCCAACUAAGUCGGAUGUGAAAUCCCCAGGCUUAACCUGGGAACUGCAUCCGAUACUGGUCGGCUUGAAUCCGGGAGAGGGAUGCAGAAUUCCAGGUGUAGCGGUGAAAUGCGCAGAUAUCGGGAGGAACACCAAUGGCGAAGGCAGCUCGCUGGGACGUGACUGACGCUGAGACGCGAAAGCGUGGGGAGCAAACAGG
rnacentral:rRNA from 1 species